CUGUGUGCUUAAUACAUGCAUGUUGAACGGAAUAUUUUAGUUCGCUAAAAUAUUUAGUAGCAAAUGGGUGAGUAACACGUACCUAACCUACCUUUUGGACUGGGAUAACCAUUGGAAACAGUGGCUAAUACCGGAUAUGAUAAAAAUUUGCAUGAAUUUUUAUUCAAAGGAGCCUUCAAGCUUCACCAAGAAAUGGGGGUGCGCAACAUUAGUUAGUUGGUAGGGUAAAAGCCUACCAAGACGAUGAUGUUUAGCGGGGCCAAGAGGUUGUACCGCCACACUGGGAUUGAGAUACGGCCCAGACUCCUACGGGAGGCAGCAGUAAGGAAUAUUCCACAAUAAGCGAAAGCUUGAUGGAGCGACACAGCGUGCAGGAUGAAGUCUUUCGGGAUGUAAACUGCUGUUGUAAGGGAAGAAAAAACUAGAUAGGAAAUGCUCUAGUCUUGACGGUACCUUAUUAGAAAGCGACGGCAAACUAUGUGCCAGCAGCCGCGGUAAUACAUAGGUCGCAAGCGUUAUCCGGAAUUAUUGGGCGUAAAGCGUCCGUAGGUUUUUUGUUAAGUUUAAAGUUAAAUGCUAAAGCUCAACUUUAGUCCGCUUUAGAUACUGGCAAAAUAGAAUUAUGAAGAGGUUAGCGGAAUUCCUAGUGGAGUGGUGGAAUACGUAGAUAUUAGGAAGAACACCAAUAGGCGAAGGCAGCUAACUGGUCAUAUAUUGACACUAAGGGACGAAAGCGUGGGGAGCAAACAGGAUUAGAUACCCUGGUAGUCCACGCCGUAAACGAUGAUCAUUAGUUGGUGGCAAAAGUCACUAACACAGCUAACGCGUUAAAUGAUCCGCCUGAGUAGUAUGCUCGCAAGAGUGAAACUUAAAGGAAUUGACGGGAACCCGCACAAGCGGUGGAGCAUGUGGUUUAAUUUGAAGCUACGCGUAGAACCUUACCCACUCUUGACAUUCUCGCAAAACUAUAGAGAUAUAGCCGAGGCUAACGAGAUCACAGAUGGUGCAUGGUUGUCGUCAGCUCGUGUCGUGAGAUGUUAGGUUAAGUCCUGCAACGAGCGCAACCCUUUUCUUUAGUUGCUAACAUUUAGUUGAGAACCCUAAAGAUACUGCCGGCGCAAGCCGGAGGAAGGUGGGGACGACGUCAAAUCAUCAUGCCUCUUACGAGUGGGGCAACACACGUGCUACAAUGGCUACUACAAAGAGCAGCAAAACAGUGAUGUCAAGCUAAUCUCAAAAAAGUAGUCUCAGUUCGGAUUGAAGUCUGCAACUCGACUUCAUGAAGUCGGAAUCGCUAGUAAUCGCAGGUCAGCUAUACUGCGGUGAAUACGUUCUCGGGUUUUGUACACACCGCCCGUCACACCAUGGGAGUUGGUAAUGCCCAAAGUCGGUGAGUUAACUUCGGAGACCAUUGCCUAAGGCAGGACCGAUGACUGGGGUGAAGUCGUAACAAGGUAUCCCUACGAGAACGUG
rnacentral:rRNA from 2 species